GACGAACGCUGGCGGCGUGCUUAACACAUGCAAGUCGAACGGAAAGGCCCUGCUUUUGUGGGGUGCUCGAGUGGCGAACGGGUGAGUAACACGUGAGUAACCUGCCCUUGACUUUGGGAUAACUUCAGGAAACUGGGGCUAAUACCGGAUAGGAGCCCCUGCUGCAUGGUGGGGGUUGGAACGUCUCGGCGGUGGCGGGUGGACGCGCGGCUGACCGGCUCGGUGGUGGGGUAGUGGCCUACCCAGGCUUCGACGGGUAGCCGGCCUGGGAGGGCGGCCGGGCACAUUGGGACUGAGGUACGGCCCAGAGUGGUACGGGGGGCAGCGGGGGGGAAUGUUGCACAAUGGGCGGGAGCCUGAUGCGGCGGCGCCGCGUGCGGGAUGACGGCCUUCGGGUUGUAAACCGCUUUCGCCUGUGACGAAGCGUGAGUGACGGUAAUGGGUAAAGAAGCACCGGCUAACUACGUG
rnacentral:rRNA from 1 species